rnacentral:rRNA from 1 species
UCAGAUUGAACGCUGGCGGCAGGCCUAACACAUGCAAGUCGGACGGUAGCACAGAGGAGCUUGCUCCUCGGGUGACGAGUGGCGGACGGGUGAGUAAUGUCUGGGAAUCUGCCCGAUAGAGGGGGAUAACCACUGGAAACGGUGGCUAAUACCGCAUAACGUCGCAAGACCAAAGAGGGGGACCUUCGGGCCUCUCACUAUCGGAUGAACCCAGAUGGGAUUAGCUAGUAGGCGGGGUAACGGCCCACCUAGGCGACGAUCCCUAGCUGGUCUGAGAGGAUGACCAGCCACACUGGAACUGAGACACGGUCCAGACUCCUACGGGAGGCAGCAGUGGGGAAUAUUGCACAAUGGGCGCAAGCCUGAUGCAGCCAUGCCGCGUGUAUGAAGGAGGCCUUCGGGUUGUAAAGUACUUUCAGCGGGGAGGAAGGCGAUGUGGUUAAUAACCGCGUCGAUUGACGUUACCCGCAGAAGAAGCACCGGCUAACUCCGUGCCAGCAGCCGCCGUAAUACGGAGGGUGCAAGCGUUAAUCGGAAUUACUGGGCGUAAAGCGCACGCAGGCGGUCUGUUAAGUCAGAUGUGAAAUCCCCGGGCUUAACCUGGGAACUGCAUUUGAAACUGGCAGGCUUGAGUCUCGUAGAGGGGGGUAGAAUUCCAGCUGUAGCGGUGAAAUGCGUAGAGAUCUGGAGGAAUACCGGUGGCGAAGGCGGCCCCCUGGACGAAGACUGACGCUCAGGUGCGAAAGCGUGGGGAGCAACCAGGAUUAGAUACCCUGGUAG